AGUCUCACAACGGGGAGUUGCUGCAAGGGGCUGAGAAAGGGCUGCAAGCACCUGACCCGCCAAACCUGCCCGGGGUAAUGCCCGCGAAGGGAUAGACGGCUUCACCGCC
rnacentral:ncRNA from 1 species